GAAGGAAAGGCCCUUCGGAAACGGCUUGCACGAGCAGUUUCCAAACCGCCCUGAGCUGCUGCGGUCAAAAGCCGUGGUGGUGAGCGUCAGGAAACGGUACGGGC
rfam:Microbial mat metagenome hsmat10_BHWZ7879_b1, whole genome shotgun sequence.